CAGGGGUUAUACUGUUUUGAGUAAGUUUCCUAAAAUGAUUCCGCAAACUGAUCCCAGGUUCUGAAUUUCCUGGUGUCAAGGGUCUCUGGAAUGUGUUACUGCAUUGAAAGAGCCCCAUCUCUAGAGCACCCUUGCAUGGAGUGGUUUAUCAUUCUACCCUGUGGUGACCCACACAGCUACCUGUGGUUCCUGAGCUCAGAGGUGGCAGUGGGGUCCCAUGCUGCGCUGGGGUUCUGCCCGAGGGCCUGUGUCUGUUCCCUUGAAAUCGGGUUCAGAAGCCACACAGCUGGGUUUCCAGGAGUGCCUGAGUGUCUAUCUCUUCCUCUUCCUCUGCUUUUCUUUUUGCCCUGUGAAUCAGUGGGAAAUCCCCCUAGAAUCUCCAGACCAGUGGCCCUGUGUCUGAGCUGUAGAUGCGGGUCAGAGAUAAUGGUAGGUUCAGUGCAGGGCCUGGCAAUUCCCGGGCCAGAGGGUUUCCUAAACAUCACUCCAGGCCUUAAGAUCCUUAAUUAAGCCACCAGAGGCCCAGAAGACAUGGCAGUUUUCCCUGAGCUCUCUACACUGAAGCUGUAACUACACUUCUGCUUCUGCCUGGGGACGCAUUCCUUUGCUAGUCCUGAAGAUCAGCCAAUAAAAAGCAGUCUCACCUAUCCAGGUUAAGUACCCUGUCUUCCCUUGGAGAUUCUGCACCUGAGCGCAAGUCCCCUUCUCACCACCACCAGCCCUCUGACACCUCUGAGGCAACAGGUCUUGUCCAACGCUGUGUCAUCAUCCAGAAGGACCAGCAUGGCUUCGGCUUCACAGUCAGUGGGGAUCGCAUUGUUCUGGUGCAGUCCGUGCGGCCUGGUAAGUACUCCCCUCUCCCUGACAGUGAACGCCUCCUGAAAAGGCUCGUGUAUGUGCCAGUGCAGGAUGAUGUGGGUCAGCCAGGAGGAGCCCUGUGGACCAAGAAUGAAUUACUCUAGAACUGCUCCCCCACAGAUGUCUAGGUCCAUCACCACCACACCAAGCCAUGAGGCAAAAGCUCUAGGGAUCACACUAGGGAAGUGUGAAACCCAACAGGACAGUCCUUGAGUCAUUAGACCGAUACCUGAUUCCACCCAGGUGAGUCCCUCAUACUGGGUCAGAAGACAUGAGGAGGAAUCAGAGGCCUCCUUUCUUCACAUGACCUCCUCGUUACCUGGCUGAGUGCUCAGACGAUCAGCUACUGCCCAGGUUUAGUUACAGACAUGCUGGUCCCAGUGGUUUUAGAACACAUUUAUUUGCAAUCAGUUAACAUUAAUAAAUUACCAAAAGAUAGAUGACAUGUACCAAGUAUUGUGUCAGAUGAAAUGGUGUUUGGAAGUUUGUUUGGGCAGUCUGAUUCAAGGGGCGUAGUCACUUCCCUUCUGAUCACUUUGAAAAUUCUUUAGAAGAGGAUUUCAGCGUGAGAAGAUUUUCAGUGUGGAAGAUGGAAAUGAAAACAGCCCUGCCAAUGUUAGUGCCCGGCUGAAGAAGACAAGCAGGAGAGAGGAUGCCAGACAGUAUAAAGCGAGUAUCCCUCAGGGAUGAACUUUAGGUGGUAAAUAGGAUCAGGCCAGGAACACGGAUCAUCUGUCGGCUUGGCCUCUUGGAGAACACAGGAAAUGCUAAGAGCAGACUGGCCUUUCACCCCAGGGAGAAGGAAGAAUAUACUUGCAGUAAUUUUGGAGAAAGACUUGGGAUAUGUUUACAGGGAAAAUGAAAAGACAAUUAUAAAUGCCUGACCAAAAUGAAAUAUGUGGCUCAUACAAGGAUAUAAAUAAUUAUAGCAUCUUAUGUUUGGAAGCUAACUUUUAUCAGUGGCAGGUUUGUUUUUCAUAUCCUUGAGUAAAGCUCUGAAAAGAUAGUUUUAUUCUUUGCUUCCCUUAUUUUUCAGCGUUCCUGGACUAGGAUGAAACAGAGCUAGUAGAACAACCAAUAACAUGCGCUUUGCCUCUGCCAUCUAUUAGAUACAGAAAGUAUGGGGUCCCCUCCAGUGAAAUGUGGGUUCAGCUCUCCUUCACUUUUUCCACCUCCUAGGUUGAGUAGAGUUAGAAUCAAAGAGUAAAGAACAAAAAAAUGACUUGCAAUAAAAUAAGGUGUGUACGUGUGUGUGUGUGUGUGUGUGUGUGUGUUUCGGGGAGAAGAGAGAAGACUUAAUUUGGAUGGGCACUGGAAUCACAAGAGUAACAGCAAUUGCUGUUGUCCUUUCCAAAUACUGAGUUUCUUUAGUUCACUAUUUGUGUUUUGGCUCCAUCAGAAUCACACAUAGGUCCUAGGAUGAUUGAAGUCCUUAUUCCUAGGCCCAACCUUAGUACUGAGUCACCUUUCUGACAAGGGGCCAAGGAUACACAUUUUAACAAAG
rnacentral:lncRNA from 1 species